ACUCAAAUGAAUUGACGGGGGCCCGCACAAGCGGUGGAUGAUGUGGAUUAAUUCGAUGCAACGCGAAAAACCUUACCUAGCCUUGACAUGCCAGGAAUCUAGAUGAAAGUUUAGAGUGCCCGAAAGGGAGCCUGGACACAGGUGCUGCAUGGCUGUCGUCAGCUCGUGUCGUGAGAUGUUGGGUUAAGUCCCGCAACGAGCGCAACCCUUAUCGUUAGUUGCCAUCAUUAAGUUGGGCACUUUAACGAGACUGCCGGUGACAAACCGGAGGAAGGUGGGGAUGACGUCAAGUCCUCAUGGCCCUUAUGGCUAGGGCUUCACACGUCAUACAAUGGUCGGUACAGAGGGUUGCUAAAUCGCGAGGUGGAGCUAAUCUCAUAAAACCGAUCGUAGUCCGGAUUGCAGUCUGCAACUCGACUGCAUGAAGUCGGAAUCGCUAGUAAUCGCAGGUCAGCAUACUGCGGUGAAUACGUUCCCGGGCCUUGUACACACCGCCCGU
rnacentral:rRNA from 1 species